UACAGAGGAGCCAAGCGUUGUCCGGAUUGACUGGGCGUAAAGCGCACGCAGGCGGUCGCGCGCGUGGGGUGUGAAAUCUGGCCGCUUAACGGCCAGGCGCCAUCCCAUACGGCACGACUGGAGUGAUGCAGAGGUCGAUGGAAUUGCCGGUGUAGUGGUGAAAUGCGUAGAGAUCGGCAGGAACAGCCCAGGGGGAAACCAGUCGACUAGGCAUCUACUGACGCUGAGGUGCGAGAGCGUGGGGAGCGAACCGG
rnacentral:rRNA from 1 species